rnacentral:piRNA from 1 species
UAAAGAAAGGACUAUCUCCCUCAGCC